rnacentral:misc_RNA from 1 species
UCCGAGUUGACCCCGGCAGUCUCCCAUGAGUUCCCACCAUUACGUGCUGGCAACAUAGGAUAAGGGUUGCGCUCGUUGCGGGACUUAACCCAACAUCUCACGACACGAGCUGACGACAGCCAUGCAGCACCUGUGUCCAGGUUCCCUUUCGGGCACACUCCCAUCUCUGGGAGCUUCCUGGCAUGUCAAGGGUAGGUAAGGUUUUUCGCGUUGCAUCGAAUUAAUCCACAUAAUCCACCGCUUGUGCGGGUCCCCGUCAGUUCCUUUGAGUUUUAGCCUUGCGGCCGUACUUCCCAGGCGGGGUGCUUAAUGCGUUAGCUGCGGCACCGCAGGGGUCAAAGCCCGCGACACCUAGCACCCAUCGUUUACGGCGUGGACUAC